GACGAACGCUGGCGGCGUGCUUAACACAUGCAAGUCGAGCGGUAAGGCCCUUUCGGGGGUACACGAGCGGCGAACGGGUGAGUAACACGUGGGUGACCUGCCUUUAGCUCUGGGAUAAGCCUGGGAAACUGGGUCUAAUACCGGAUAUGACUCCGCGGUGCAUGCUGUGGGGUGAAAGCCUUGUGCGGCUGGAGAUGGGCCCGCGGCCUAUCAGCUUGUUGGUGGGGUGANGGCCUACCAAGGCGACGACGGGUAGCCGGCCUGAGAGGGCGACCGGCCACACUGGGACUGAGACACGGCCCAGACUCCUACGGGAGGCAGCAGUGGGGAAUCUUGCGCAAUGGGCGAAAGCCUGACGCAGCGACGCCGCGUGAGGGAUGACGG
rnacentral:rRNA from 1 species